ACGUAUGGAGCGAGCGUUGUCCGGAAUUAUUGGGCGUAAAGGGUACGCAGGCGGUUUAAUAAGUCGAAUGUUAAAGAUCGGGGCUCAACCUCGUAAAGCAUUGGAAACUGAUAAACUUGAGUAGUGGAGAGGAAAGUGGAAUUCCUAGUGUAGUGGUGAAAUACGUAGAUAUUAGGAGGAAUACCAGUAGCGAAGGCGACUUUCUGGACACAAACUGACGCUGAGGUACGAAAGCGUGGGGAGCAAACAG
rnacentral:rRNA from 1 species